GUAAUCUCGAGAACUGAAGGGAUGGCUUGUGGCGCCGUUUUCUAAACCGCGCAAGCCGUCACUGGGACGGUCGCGCUGAUGUCGCUGCACCGUUGUGCCGGCUGCGCGGCGUUGUGCUGCGGGCGGGCGCUGCGGCUGCGUGCUCAAGCUGAGGCCCGCUCGCCACGCCGGCUUCCCGGGGAGCUGCGUACGCCUGCCGAGGCUCGGAGGGACCUCGUUAGUAUGUGCCGCUCCACCGGCAGGCCAUGGUGGUUACUCUGAGUUAUGUCCUCAGUUCAUCGAGUCUUCAAAGGGAUGACAGAUGGGAUAUCCAAAGAGACUUUGUUUUGCCGAUAAAUCAUUUUAAUCAGCAAACGCGUGUCCUAAUUCUAAAGAUAAAUUACCUUUUUUUCCUUUGGGGAAUCGGGCAAGUGUUGUAUGGUGACCCUGGCCAUGCCCUUUUUGGGUUGUAAACAGGGAUCCAGAAUGCUGGGUUCUGGCAGGGGCAGGACCCUGGGGUCUCAGCGGUCAUGCUCUCCUGCCAGGACGUAGCGCCAGUGCUGACCUCGAUUCCACCGAUAGGAAAGCGUGUCAGUAGGUUCCCCAGAGCGCGGCACAUGAGCUGGGGUUAAAGGCUGUACCCUGCUGGGGUACUCCUCUCCCCAGUUUGUUAGGAGCAGCAUAAUAGCCCUGCAAUCAGUCAUUCUUUGUAUGGGAACUUGCUUUAGGUAAAAUGGUCACACCUCUGUUUAACCUUGAUCCUGGCUGAUGCUGUCUCUAGCUUUCUCCCCAGGUAAUGAUAAAACCAGCGGCGAGGUUGCCCAGAACGCUGGUGCUUCUUUGACUGGCUGGCUUUCCCCAAGGAAGUGCUAAUGCUUUCUGCUGCUGGCUCAGCAGUGGAGUUCUCUGAAUCAAACAGCUUUUAUCUCCUUUUGUUUGCUCCUUUUAGGCAGCAAGUGAAGUUAAGAGAUGAGUUUGUUACUGGCUUUGGGAAUCUUCAAUCUGGACUCUGCCACACUGUUACCAUGCAAGCAGAAAGAUGUCACGUGAAUCCUGGAGCUACAGAAGUGCAAUUGAGAUCAAAUUACCUUGUCCACUGUCUUCGAGGCUUGUGUAUGCACACACAGCCAACAGUAGCCUCCAUGGAAGUGUGGGUGUUUAAGAAGGUGUGAGAUUACCAGACUGUAGAAGUUCAAGUUUAUCCUUUUUAUAUGAAGAUAAGUCUCCUAUGUAACAGAUACCACCCUUAGCCAGCACAGCACUGCAAGCUUGAAUACUAGCAGUUCCAGUUCCAUGUUUAUCUUUGGACACAGAAGGAAAAAUUUCACUAGAAGGUGGGUGUCGUAUGCCACGAGGCAGAAGACAUACGCUGUAAUUCAGAAGCCUAAAAGAUUAAAUAAUUGUCAGUCAUAAAUUGUUAAAUUAUUGUUCAGUUUUUCAAAACUUAACUUAAUACUAUACUUAAUAAUUUAUAACAGUAUUUAUACAUUGACUCAACCCCACUUAAAAUAAAACCAGUGUCAAAACUAAAUGUUUAAAGUAACUUUGAAUACAAAGGUAGAAAUCCAAGCCUUCUCGCCAACAGGACUGUUUUUCUUGGGGAUUUAACAUGAGGCAAAUAAUGGUUUGCAACAGAAGUAAUUCCUAGGAAGUCAAAGAAGUCUUACAAUUUAACCCCAUAUUGUUAACUCCUAUUCCUAUUCUAGAGAAACUGUUCCAGUGAUUUAAAAGUGUAGAGGAUUAGUAAUCCUGGCCAUCUGGGAAAAAAUGGAAAGACUGGGAACUUGCAAGCUCUGCCUGCCUGGAGUCUACCCAACCCCCUCCUCCCCCCAUAAUUCUUUUUGAGAAAGCAGGUAUAGAAUUUCUUUUUCAUCCCCUGUGCUAUGUUCCUUGGCACAAAGAGGUUGCAAAUUGCCUGUCUGGUUCCACAAUCAAAGGCUCGUAAGGAUUCUAAGAUGUCAGAGCAUGAUUUAUCCUACUAUUAAUAACUGGGAGAAAAUUAUUAAUUAAAAUUAAUAAAUAUUAGUGAAUAGGCUAUCAUACCAAUAGAAAUGUGAUGUAGGAAAUGCUUACUUUGACAGGCUACUGACAAUAAAAUACUAUGUGCACAUGCAAGACAGUACAAAUGACAGUACUGACCAAGACUUGCAGUGUGUAACUGUUUCAGUAUUAAUCAGGUGUUUUGAUUCUUAAAACACUCUGAGCUCCUAUGAUUUCUCUUAUGAAAUCUUACUCUUAACCUGGGGGGAAAAAAUCCUGCAGCUCACUUUUUUUUCAAAUUUGAACUAAUUUAUACCAGUAAAUUUUGAAAUUAUUAUUUUUUUCCACAAUAAAAAAUAGUAAUGAAUUUGUUGAAGAACUCUCACAUGAAAAUAAAAUUCAUGCCACUUUCAAAAGAUCUUUUUCAAAAAUAAAAAUGAAGCCCUGUUUUGAGCUGGGGAAGGAGAAGGUAAUUUUGUAUAAAUUAAUGUAAAUUUAAAGCUGAGCACAUUGUACUUUUCUGUAGUGUAUGUGAAAUUCUGUUAAUAGUUUGUAGUUGUGUGAAGGGGUAAAUACAUAAAACGCAUAAAUACAGGAAAACAUUUUGUUAAAGGCAACAACAGCUGGAUUUAUGACCUAUGUGUAAAGAUGUACAUGACUUGAUACCUUAUCAGUAUAGUUUUUAUGAAAAAGUGUGAUAAAAAUCUAAGUAUUUACACACUGCUUAUUAACUGAAAAUGCUGAUAGCUGGGAAGUGGUGAUGAAAAGGCUUAAAGUGACACAAGAUUUGAAAAGUAGAACCCUUUGCUUUUAUCAUUACCAGCUUCUGGGACAGUCUUUAGUUUUGAUUUUAGAAGAAUAUUUUGUUUGAGGUCUGCUAAACAGUGCUAGUGUUAAAAUCUUACUGAGAUCAUUACGAGAGUGUUCAGGGGUUUUAUUAUUAGUGAAGUUCUGAUCCAGAUUUAUCACUUGAAAUAAGUAAAAAUGUCUGAGGGAUAGAAAUUGGGUACUGUUACCAAGUUGGAGCCUUGUAUAUUCUUUUAAAAUAUAGUCUCUAUCUUUUCAUGUAAGACCAAUCCUAUUAUCUUUAAAAAUAUUCAUGUUUUUAAUUCUAAUUUAUGUGAAAAAUAUGAAAUCUCUUUACCUAUCGAUUACUAGUGUGUCGCUUGUCACAAUCAACAGAUCCAGAUAAUCUGCAUUUUCUUUUUCACAUGUCUGUACUAGACUCAGCAAUAUUGCGAGUUUAAGAGUAUUGUAAGUGCCUGGUGGAACAACUUGAGAAGCAAAUAUAUUGGCAAGGAUGGCAGUAAACCUCCAGCAUGAACUUGAAGUCAGUGAGAGCAGAUACUUAAAAUUGUCACUGACAAAAGAAGGACCUAAUGAAAACAAAGUACAGGUUAACAAACGAUAAGAGAGCUAUGCAGAUAUAUUAGAACAAAUCACCAUUCUAGUCUUGAUACAAAACUUAGAACAGAUGUGCUUAUGUAUUAAGCACAAAUUGAGAAUGUAAACAUCUGACAAUUUUACUGCUAAAAAGGCAUGAUCUGCUAAAACUGAUGGAAUAAGAAAGGAAUAACAAACUGAAAUAUCAGGUUCAUUUAAUGUAUGGUAUCAAAAUACUUUCCAGUGGAUAGAAGUUGGAAAGAGAAGUUGAAGAACUUCAGUAAAUAAUUAUGUAGUUUCCCAGUGCAUGGAAAGUAGGCAGAAGAAGAUAUUCUCAAAUAACCAUAAGCAUACAUUUCAGACUGUAAGAGGAAAGGUCCAGAGUAGUUUCGUAAUCUGGCCUCUAGAUAAUAGAAAACUCUACCAAUUCUCAAGAUUUUGUUCUAGAAGGCUUUCCAACUUUUAAAGUCAAUUUUUAAUGGAACUUUCUUACCAUUUGGUUUACAGAGCUGUACACUACUGACUUCUAUACAUGCUGUAGCUUGUAAGCCAUUUCGUACACAAGCUGGAAUUCCUAUAAUCUUGUAGUGGUUUCCUAUUUUCAUUUUAUUGGCUAGUUCAUCUAGAAAUAAAAAAAAAAGGGGGGGGACGGACCUGCAGAUGUGUUAGAGCAUAAAAAACAGUUUUAAAGACAUGGUCAGAAAACUUCCUUCACAUUCUGAACAAUUCGAUUUUACAAUUUAAUUGCAGAAAACAACAGUUGGAUGCCAGGUUCACCAUAAUGGACUAGAAUAAAAUGAAGCAUACAAUUUAAUUAAUUAAUGCAAAAGGUAAGGAAGGCACACGGGGUGAGGAAAAGUAGAUUCCUGAUAAUGAAAACAGAUCAUAGAUUUCCUUCAGCAUUGAAAAGAAAAUUGACAGUUGUUUGCAAAUAUACAUUUCCACUCUCAAACUUGUGGUGACACCAUUGUCAGUUACUGCCCUAUAAAAUGUCAGAGAAAAAAAAACCACAAUAAAAAGGAGAUCCAAAUUAAACAGAUUUCAAAAAGACAAAAAUAGCUUUGAGAACCUUUGUAUUUCCGUGCAUCUUUAAACAAAAAAAAAAAAAAAGAAAAAAAUCACAUUUAUUUUUUCAAAAUGAGAGUUAGGUCCAACCAAAUAUGCAUCUCAGCUGCAAUACCCUAUCUAACCUCACUGAUCACUGAAGCCAGGGGAAAUUUAAUUCAUGCACAAUGCACUAUCUCACCCAUACAUUCUUAUAACUUCAGUAGUAGUAGUAGUUUCUUCUAUUUAGUUUUCAAGAAGUGAACCAUAUAAUUCCAUAGACUUGGAAGGGCAGGGUUUGGGUUUUUUCUUAAGAGAAUUAAUGGAAGUAUAUUGGUGAGUUGUGAUUCUAGUUGGAUAUUCACAUUAGAAAUCAUUUAAUGUUUGCAGUGGAAGGUAGUGGUAGUAGAAGCCAAAAAUCCUGAUGGAAUGCGGAAAACAGCUAGAUUGAGGAAGGAUGUUAAAGACCCGUGAAGUUGUACAAAACAGUAUAACAAAAGGAAGUAGCGAGGACGAAAAAAACAAGCUGCAGUUCGAGUGCGAUACUGCAGAGCUGGCAAGGGGAUUUUAUUUAAAUGAAGGUAUAAAAGUGAACACCACAGUUUUGCCAUGUGCAGUCUUCAAUCAUCUGUGUAUAUUGUUUAGUCACCUAGCUAAUUUUAUGUAUCCCCCCCCCCAGUUUUGUUAAAGAACUGCAAUAUAAAUUAUGACUUUUACUAUUUUAUCCAGAGAAAUGGACUUACAAGGAAAAUGCAAGGGAUUAUUACAGUUCAAGUCUAAAAUAUUUUUGACAAAACUCCAAAACUCAGCUUACCUCUCAAGAAAACUGUAAAUGUCUGAAUCCUAAAAUGUGAUUUAUCAUUGGAAUAUCCUUUCAAAGCAUUAAGAACUUUUGCAUCAAUCAUUUCAACUAUUUGUUUAUCUUUCAAAAUAAAGGCAAAUAAAAGUUAGUUCUCUUGAAAACA